UACAGAGGGUGCAAGCGUUGUUCGGAUUCAUUGGGCGUAAAGGGUGCGUAGGUGGCGCUGUAAGUCGGGUGUGAAAUUUUGGAGCUUAACUCCGAAACUGCAUUCGAUACUGCGGUGCUUGAGGACUGGAGAGGAGACUGGAAUUCAUGGUGUAGCAGUGAAAUGCGUAGAGAUCAUGAGGAAGACCAGUGGCGAAGGCGGGUCUCUGGACAGUUCCUGACACUGAGGCACGAAGGCCAGGGGAGCAAACGGG
rnacentral:rRNA from 1 species